UUGGGGCGCGAGACAACUCUCUCUAAGGAACUCGGCCAAAUUACCUCGUAACUUCGGAAGAAGAGGUACCCCUUCACGGGGGUUGCAAUAGAUUGACCCUGGCGACUGUUUACCAAAAACACAGGUCUCCGCUAAUUCGUAAGAAAAAGUAUGGGGGCUGACGCCUGCCCAGUGCCGGAAGGUUAAAGAAGUUGGUUAGUCCUUGGACAAAGCUAGCGACUGAAGCCCCGGUGAACGGCGGCCGUAACUAUAACGGUCCUAAGGUAGCGAAAUUCCUCGUCGGGUAAGUUCCGACCCGCACGAAAGGCGUAACGAUCAGGGUACUGUCUCGGAGAGAGGCUCGGCGAAAUAGACAUGUCUGUGAAGAUGCGGACUACCUGCACCUGGACAGAAAGACCCUAUGAAGCUUUACUGUAUCUUGGAAUUGGGUUUGGUCUUUGCAUGCGCAGGAUAGGUGGGAGGCUUUGAAGAUGAUCUUGCGGGGUCGUUGGAGCCACUGGUGAGAUACCACCCUUGCAAUGAUAAAAUCCUAACUUUGAACCGUUAUCCGGUCAAAGAACAGUUUCAGGUGGGCAGUUUGACUGGGGCGGUCGCCUCCUAAAAGGUAACGGAGGCGUGCAAAGGUUCCCUCAGGCUGGUUGGACAUCAGUCGUAGAGUGUAAAGGCAUAAGGGAGCUUGACUGCGAGACCAACAAGUCGAGCAGAGACGAAAGUCGGCCUUAGUGAUCCGGCGCUUCCGAGUGGAAGGGGCGUCGCUCAACGGAUAAAAGUUACUCUAAGGAUAACAGGCUGAUCUCCCCCAAGAGUUCACAUCGACGGGGAGGUUUGGCACCUCGAUGUCGGCUCAUCGCAUCCUGGGGCGGUAGUACGUCCCAAGGGUUGGGCUGUCCGCCCAUGAAAGCGGUACGCGAGCUGGGUUCAGAACGUCGUGAGACAGUUCGGUCCAUAUCCGGUGCAGGCGUUAGAGUAUUGCGAAGACUCCUCCUUAGUACGAGAGGACCGGGGGGAAUGCACCGCUGGUGUACCAGUUAUCGUGCCAACGGUAAACGCUGGGUAGCCAAGUGCAGUUUGGAUAACUGCUGAAAGCAUCUAAGUAGGAAGCCAGCUUCAAGAUGAGUACUCUCACCGCUUCAAGCGGGUAAGAUCACGGCAAGAACAGCCGUUUGAUAGGCAUCAAGUGUAAGUGCAGUAAUGUAUUCAGCUGAGAUAUACUAAUAGAUCGAGGGCUUAUU
rnacentral:rRNA from 1 species